rnacentral:rRNA from 1 species
AACGCUGAAGCUCAUCUUGCUGGGUUGGAUGAGUGGCGAACGGGUGAGUAACACGUGGGUAAUCUGCCCUGUACUCUGGGAUAAGCCUGGGAAACUGGGUCUAAUACCGGAUAGGACACAUCACCGCAUGGUGGUGUGUGGAAAGUUCCGGCGGUACAGGUUGAGCCCGCGGCCUAUCAGCUUGUUGGUGGGGUGAUGGCCUACCAAGGCGACGACGGGUAGCCGGCCUGAGAGGGUGACCGGCCACACUGGGACUGAGACACGGCCCAGACUCCUACGGGAGGCAGCAGUGGGGAAUAUUGCACAAUGGGCGCAAGCCUGAUGCAGCGACGCCGCGUGGGGGAUGACGGCCUUCGGGUUGUAAACCCCUUUCGCCCGGGACGAAGCGAAAGUGACGGUACCGGGAGAAGAAGCACCGGCCAACUACGUGCCAGCAGCCGCGGUAAUACGUAGGGUGCAAGCGUUGUCCGGAAUUAUUGGGCGUAAAGAGCUCGUAGGCGGUGUGUCACGUCUGCCGUGAAAACCUGCGGCUUAACCGUGGGCGUGCGGUGGAUACGGGCAUCACUUGAGUUCGGUAGGGGAGACUGGAAUUCCCUGGUGUAGCGGUGGAAUGCGCAGAUAUCAGGAGGAACACCGGUGGCGAAGGCGGGUCUCUGGGCCGAAACUGACGCUGAGGAGCGAAAGCGUGGGGGAGCGAACAGGAUUAGAUACCCUGGGUAGUCCACGCCCGUAAAACGUUGGG